rnacentral:rRNA from 1 species
CCAAUAGCGUAUAUUAAAGUUGUUGCAGUUAAAAAGCUCGUAGUUGAAUUUUAGGCCUGGCCGGGCGGUCCGUCUUUGGCGAGUACUGUCCUGUGUCGGGUCUUCCUUCUGGUGAACCAGUAUGUCCUUUAUUGGGUGUGCCGGGGAGCCAGGACCAUUACCUUGAAAAAAUUAGAGUGUUUAAAGCGGGCAUUUGCUUGAAUAGAUUAGCAUGGAAUAAUAGAAUAGGAUGUUGUGGUUCUAUUUUGUUGGUUUCUAGGACCACCGUAAUGAUUAAUAGGGAUAGUUGGGGGCAUUAGUAUUCAAUUGUCAGAGGUGAAAUUCUUGGAUUUAUUGAAGACUAACUAUUGCGAAAGCAUUUGCCAAGGAUGUUUUCAUUAACCAAGAACGAAAGUUAGGGGACCGAAGACGAUCAGAUACCGUCGUAGUCUUAACCAUAAACUAUGCCGACUAGGAAUCGGGCGACGUUAUUUUCACGACUCGCUCGGCGCCUUAUG